rnacentral:rRNA from 1 species
ACGGAAGGCAGCAGUGGGGAAUAUUGCACAAUGGGCGAAAGCCUGAUGCAGCGACGCCGCGUGAGUGAAGAAGUAUCUCGGUAUGUAAAGCUCUAUCAGCAGGGAAGAAAAUGACGGUACCUGACUAAGAAGCCCCGGCUAACUACGUGCCAGCAGCCGCGGUAAUACGUAGGGGGCAAGCGUUAUCCGGAUUUACUGGGUGUAAAGGGAGCGUAGACGGUUUGGCAAGUCUGAAGUGAAAUGCGGGGGCACAACUCCUGAACUGCUUUGGAAACUGUCGAACUAGAGUGCAGGAGAGGUAAGUGGAAUUCCUAGUGUAGCGGUGAAAUGCGUAGAUAUUAGGAGGAACACCAGUGGCGAAGGCGGCUUACUGGACUGUAACUGACGUUGAGGCUCGAAAGCGUGGGGAGCAAACAGGAUUAGAUACCCUGGUA